AUUAUAUAUAUAGAAUUUCAAUUAUAAUUUAUAUGUCUCUAUCCAUAUAAUAUUUAUUCACUAUAAUUUACAUAUGAUAUUCAAUUUUAGUGACAAAGACAACCUAAAGGUUGUGAGUGUGAUUACUAUAUUAUGAUACAUAUGUUGAACAUUGUAUCUAGUAGUCUUGUUGAUUCAUGGAUGCGGAUAUUUGGAGACUCAACCAUUCGAAGAUGAUGAAAUGAUAAAUGCCCGACAACAUUGUACAAACUUGAUUCUUGAACUAAUAGAAAAUGUUUGAAGCACUUGUAUCAUUUUAGUUACUUAGACUGUUAAUAGAAGAUAAUGGUUUUUUUUUU